CAGACGGGAGGCAGAAGGGAGGAAGAGGGGACAAGGGCCGAGAGGCUGAACCAGCCAAGGCGCGUGAGGGAAGACGGCCCUACGGGUUGUAAACCUCUUUUGUCGGGGAGCAAAGCGAACCACGUGUGGUUCAUUGAGAGUACCCGAAGAAAAAGCAUCGGCUAACUCCGUGCCAGCAGCCGCGGUAAUACGGAGGAUGCGAGCGUUAUCCGGAUUUAUUGGGUUUAAAGGGUGCGCAGGCGGAGGUGGAAGUCAGCGGUCAAAUUGCGGGGCUCAACCCCGUACUGCCGUUGAAACUGCAUCCCUUGAGUGCGCGAGAGGGAUGCGGAAUGCGUGGUGUAGCGGUGAAAUGCAUAGAUAUCACGCAGAACUCCGAUUGCGAAGGCAGCAUACCGGCGCGCAACUGACGCUCAUGCACGAAAGCGUGGGUAUCGAACAGGAUUAGAUACCCUUGUAGUC
rnacentral:rRNA from 1 species